GGUUUCAGUCCGGGAUUAAAAUUGAAAUGUUCCGGCGGCUGUGCGCAGACGCGGCACCCCCGGAUCGCCCAUAUUAACUUGUUAAUUAGGUCCAUAAUACGACUUGCAGAUGAGCUACAGAGUUGUGAAGUUGAAUACAUAAAAAGCCCUUUUCAGCGAUCGCAUGCAUUGUCGGGGCGAGCGGCCGGCUGCGGAGGCGUCCGGGGAGGCGAGCCUAUAUCGUGUUUCGUACGUCCCACCAGCCACCAGAAGUUUGCCUGUUCAUAAAUAAACGCGAACGGUAUUCAACAGCCCUUGGUGCUGUAUGCAUAACGAAUUUGAAGGAGGCAAACUUGGAGGCUCUGCUGGCUGGGAUGGAGUAUAAAAUUCAGUAACAACAUGGUCGAGGUUUUCAUUCGACGGGCCGCUGCCGAUGGAGACAUAGCUCCGUUAUGCUAAUUACAAACUAAUUAGUGAUAUGUUGUCUAUUGCCUAUGUGUUUUUUGUCUAUGGUGUUAGUGUAUUGUUAUCUGUGUUUAUUAUUGUGACUUGAGUUGAGCUUUUAUUGUUACAAGUGCAAGUACAAGUGAGGAUAUGUAAAUGAGUUUUUAAUUUAUGGUAAUAAGUUAGUAUUGUGGCCAUUGCGAUGGUUUACUGUGUAAUGAAGCGUGUUCUUCGUCGACGACUGCGAUGGCGGGAAGUGGAGCGGCCAUCUUGCGGUCGCUGUCAAACGUUGACUCAGUUUCUGAGCCUACGAGGCUCUGCCGCCGGGCUUCCCGAGUGCCCGGCGGCAGGGCCCAGUGGUAGCACCGCCGGAGCCCGCAGCGCCACUGCCACCGCUCCCCGCGAGCCGCACGCAGUCACCGCGCCCUGCUAUGACCACUGUUGUUAAGUGUACCGGACAGUAAAACACGAUGGUUGCACGUAACAAUAGGCCUGUUGUAUCGAGCAACUUAUACGCAAGUUUAGUCUUAAUAAGAUUAUCCAAAAGGACAUAGAGUUAAAAAAUAAAAGUAGAUUAUGUAGUAUAACACCAUAAGCUUUUCCAUUACUUAUUUUAGUCUUAUAUAGCGAUAAUGAAUUAAAAUCCACUAAGUGACGAGUACACGUGCCAAAUAAGUUUUAUGUUUUUGUUAACCAGUCAGUAGUACAGAUGUUUUUAACAUAUUUUAUUUGUACUUUUUAGACAUGGAUAAGUUAAGUUUUAAUGAACUUAUUACAUUACUUUUUGAAUUAA